CGCGGCCUAUCAGCUUGUUGGUGAGGUAACGGCUCACCAAGGCAUCGACGGGUAGCUGGUCUGAGAGGAUGAUCAGCCACACUGGAACUGAGACACGGUCCAGACUCCUACGGGAGGCAGCAGUGGGGAAUAUUGCACAAUGGGCGCAAGCCUGAUGCAGCAACGCCGCGUGCGGGAAGAAGGCCCUAGGGUUGUAAACCGCUUUCAGCAGGGAAGAAAAUGACGGUACCUGCAGAAGAAGGUGCGGCCAACUACGUGCCAGCAGCCGCGGUGACACGUAGGCACCAAGCGUUGUCCGGAUUUAUUGGGCGUAAAGAGCUCGUAGGCGGUUCAGUAAGUCGGGUGUGAAAACUCUGGGCUCAACCCAGAGAGGCCACCCGAUACUGCUGUGACUUGAGUACGGUAGGGGAGCGGGGAAUUCCUGGUGUAGCGGUGAAAUGCGCAGAUAUCAGGAGGAACACCAGUGGCGAAGGCGCCGCUCUGGGCCGUAACUGACGCUGAGGAGCGAAAGCAUGGGUAGCAAACAGGAUUAGAUACCCUGGUAGUCCAUGCCGUAAACGUUGGGCACUAGGUGUGGGUCUCAACCAACGAGAUCCGCGCCGUCGCUAACGCAUUAAGUGCCCCGCCUGGGGAGUACGG
rnacentral:rRNA from 1 species